rnacentral:rRNA from 1 species
CUCAGAUUGAACGCUGGCGGCAGGCCUAACACAUGCAACUCGAGCGGUAACACAGGGAGCUUGCUCCCGGGUGACGAGCGGCGGACGGGUGAGUAAUGUCUGGGAAACUGCCUGAUGGAGGGGGAUAACUACUGGAAACGGUAGCUAAUACCGCAUAACGUCGCAAGACCAAAGAGGGGGACCUUCGGGCCUCUUGCCAUCAGAUGUGCCCAGAUGGGAUUAGCUAGUAGGUGGGGCAACGGCUCACCUAGGCAACGAUCGCCCGCUGCCCUGAGAGGAUGACCAGCCACACUGGAACUGAACACGGUCCAGACUCCUACGGGAGGCAGCAGUGGGGAAUAUUGCACAAUGGGCGCAAGCCUGAUGCACCAUGCCGCGUGUAUGAGAAGGCCUUCGGGUUGAAAGACUUUCAGCGGGGAGGAAGGGGUGGGGUAAUACCACGCAUUGACGUACCCGCAAAAAGCACCGGUUACUCCGUGGCACACCGCGGAAUACGGAGGGGAAGGUUAAUCGGAAUACUGGAGUAGGGCAGGGGGGGCUGUAAGUCGAUGGAAAUCCCGGAUUCUGUGCUGCAGUGCAGCGUUAUCGGAUUACUGGGGAUCAAGCGCACGCGGAAGGCGGUCUGUCAGAUCAUGUGAAAUCAGAAAGGAGCUCAACCUGGGAACUGCAUUCGAAACUGGCAGGCUAUUAGUCUUGUAGAGGGUGGUAAAAUUCCAGGUGUAGCGGUGAAAUGCGUAAGAUCUGGAGGAAUACCGGUGGCGAAGGCGGCCCCCUGGACAAAGACUGACGCUCAGGUGCGAAAGCGUGGGGAGCAAACAGGAUUAGAUACCCUGGUAGUCCACGCCGUAAACAUGAUUACUAGGUGUGGGGGGACUGACCCCUUCCUUGUCUCAUUUAACGCAAUAAUAAUCCCCCUGGGGAGUACACCGCAGGUUGAGGCUCACCCGCACCGACGGGGGCCCGCACAAGCAGGAUUAUGUGGUUUAAUUCAAACAACCCAAAAACUUACCGACUUGACUAACAGUGCCCGGCUAAUAAUUAUCUUCUCUUCGACACUGCUACAGGUGGUGCAUGGUUGCACUGGGAAAGUUGGGUAAGUCCCGCACCAGGAACCCUUGUUAGUGCUACGCGAGAGCACUUAAUGAGGCCGCUCGACAAGGUGGAGGAAGGUGGGGAUGACGUCAAAAUCAUCAUGCCCCUUAUUUUGGGUACACUACGUAAUUCAAUGGUCAUUAACAGAGGGUCGCAAGACCCGAGGUGGAGCCAAUCCCUAAAAAUGAUCUCAGUUCGGAUUGCAGGUGCAACCCGCUGCAUGAAGCUGGAAUUGCUAGUAAUCGCGGAUCAGCAUGCCGCGGUGAAUACGUUCCCGGGCCUUGUACACACCGCCCGUCACACCAUGGGAGUUUGUAACACCCGAAGUCAGCAGCCUAACCUUUCUGGAGGGCGCUGCCGAAGGUGGGAUAAGCGACUGGGGUGAAGUCGUAACAAGGUAACCGUAU